AGCAGCGUGGCUCAGUGGAAAGAGCAUGGGCUUGGGAGUCAGAGGUCAUGGGUUCAAAUCCCAGCUUUGCCA
rnacentral:tRNA from 1 species